rnacentral:misc_RNA from 1 species
UUAUUUCGAAAAAAUCAGGUUUUAUCAAAGCUAUUUAUUUUAGCGACUCGAACGUGCUGGAGUUUUGAAAAUUUAAAAAUAAAUACCAGAUGAUUUGACAUGCAAAUAUGCUCGAGAUAACCAGUUUCUGACUGAAUUGAUGUCAGAGACUGAAAGAUUAUUGAAUAUUCAAAAAUGUGACCUUACCUUCAUAAUUGGCAUCUUCACACAAUCGGUCACAACACGAUAUGCUCCAAAAUUGAGUAUGCAGAGCGGCGAUAUUUUGCUCCACAUAUUUCCUGUGUAUGUUCUGGGCUGGGUAGUUGGCAACUUUCUUGCCAUCCACGUGUAUAAUGAUUAAUGUGAAGAUCUGAAGAGUUGUAGAACUUCAUUUUGGGUGGAGGAUCCAUGCUGAC